UACGAAGGGGGCUAGCGUUGCUCGGAAUCACUGGGCGUAAAGGGCGCGUAGGCGGAUCUUUAAGUCAGGGGUGAAAUCCUGGAGCUCAACUCCAGAACUGCCUUUGAUACUGAAGAUCUUGAGUUCGGGAGAGGUGAGUGGAACUGCGAGUGUAGAGGUGAAAUUCGUAGAUAUUCGCAAGAACACCAGUGGCGAAGGCGGCUCACUGGCCCGAUACUGACGCUGAGGCACGAAAGCGUGGGGAGCAAACAGG
rnacentral:rRNA from 1 species